rnacentral:rRNA from 1 species
GCCAAAAACUUAGCCCAAUACUACCCUAUGAAAAUAAGAAUUUUUUUACUUUAAAUUAAAACAUUCUAUUACUUUAGUAAAGGCGAUUAAAAAAUUAAUAAGAGCUACAUAAACAGUACCGCAAGGGAAAAGUGAAAUAGAAAUGAAACAAGCACCAAGCACAAAAAAGUAGAGAUUACCCCUCGUACCUUUUGCAUCAUGGUUUGACUAGUCAAAUUAAGCAAAACGAAUUUUAGUUUAACCCCCCGAAACCAAGCGAGCUACUUCAGGGCAGCUUACUGAGCUAACCCGUCUCUGUUGCAAAAGAGUGGGAAGACCCUUAAGUAGAGGUGACAGACCUAACGAGCCUGGUGAUAGCUGGUUACUCGAGAAAAGGAUUUUAGUCCAGCUUAAAGUUCUAUAAAUAACUGAAAAUAAACUAUUAACUUUAAAGUAAUUCAAAUAAGGUACAGCCUAUUUGAAACAGGAUACAACCUAAAAAAUGGGUAAUAGACCACAACAUUAAUCAAGUAGGCCUAAAAGCAGCCACCUUUUAAACAGCGUCAAAGCUUCAUUACUUCCUUACCUAAUACCUAAAAUACUCUUUAACCCCCCUAAACUAUCGAGUACUUCUAUAAAUAUAUAUAGAAAAUUUUAUGUCAAAACUAGUAACAAGAAUAUGAAUUUCACUAAAUGCAAAUGUAAGUCAGAAAGGACACUCCACUGACAAUUAACACCUAUGCACACCAAUUAACAACCCCACAAGAAAAACUUAAUAUAUUCAAUGUUAACCUAACACAAGAGCAUUACAAGUCAGAUUUAAAGAAAAAGAAGGAACUCGGCAAAUCUUAACCCCGCCUGUUUACCAAAAACAUCGCCUCUUGAUUAAUUAUAAGAGGUCCAGCCUGCCCAGUGACUCUGUUCAACGGCCGCGGUAUCCUAACCGUGCGAAGGUAGCGUAAUCACUUGUUCUUUAAAUGAGGACUAGUAUGAAUGGCACCACGAAGGUUAUACUGUCUCCUUUUUCUAAUCAGUGAAACUAAUCCCCCCGUGAAGAAGCGGGGAUAAUACUAUAAGACGAGAAGACCCUAUGGAGCUUUAAACCUAAUAACACCGGCUUUCAAACUUUAUCUCUCCAGAGUCGCUAGAACACAACACAGCCCCAUGAUUAUUAGUUUUAGGUUGGGGUGACCGCGGAGUAAAAAAUAACCUCCACAUUGCAUGGAAUAAUAUUCCUGAACCAAGAGUAACAGCUCUACGCACCAAAAAACUGACAUCAAAUGACCCAAUUUAUUGAUCAACGAACCAAGUUACCCUAGGGAUAACAGCGCAAUCCGUCUCAAGAGCUCCUAUCGCCAGGCGGGUUUACGACCUCGAUGUUGGAUCAGGGUAUCCCAGUGGUGCAGCCGCUACUAAAGGUUCGUUUGUUCAACGAUUAAAACCCU